rnacentral:lncRNA from 1 species
GAUGGGGCAAGCCAUGGGACUGGAAGGCAGCAGGCAGAUGUCAGGGUUGGGGAUUACUGGCUCAGAAGCAGGAAAUCUCAUGUAGAAGCCCAGAACUUUCAAGAGAUAAGAAGUAGAGAGAUUCUGGUUUAAAGAGAGAUGACAGAAGCCCUGAAUGUCCUCUCUUCUGCUCCCCCAGAUACCUUCAUGGACUACAGGGCUGUACAUACGGGUCAUGGGAUACAUGAACUUCAGGCUUAAUCUCUGUGUGAGAAAAACAGCAUGAAGAUAAUCAACUCUAUGUCAGAAGAAAUUGGCAACACUACUAACCACGAGUAAUGCACACCGAAGGAGGACCCGGGGAAGAACCAAGAGAAGACAAGAACUGAAGUUCUUCCAUUCCCACCUCUGCAUCACCUUCCCUGCUUUCUCUUUCCCCAGAAGAGACUCAGUCAACAUCCCAAAGACCAAUGAUUUCAUUGUUUUACACCAAAUAUCCCUCCUCUAAAUUUUUCAAGAAAUUGGGAAUAAACUUCUUACGCAAGAAAAUUUGGGGAGCAAAAGCAAGUAACCAGCCUAGAUGAGCACAUCCAACCUCUCUCCUCUUGAUUCUCACAUGUAUUACCCAGGGUCCUGUUUCUGCAGAAAGGAGGGAACCCUUGAGAACAUUUUCACUAUGUCACUUUAGCAGCCUAACUCUGUGGUACCCCUGAUUUAGGGAGGGUGAGGGGGUGGUGAAGACUGCAACCCCAAUAGAAGCAGGGAAGGUGACAUAGAGGUGAGAAUGGAAGGACUUCAGUUCUUGGCUUCUCUUGGUUUCUGCCCUGGGUCUUUCUGGCACUAUCUUUCCCUAAAGUAUUUCAUCUAAUUCCUCAAACAUCCCUGGAUAGCCUAUAUCAUAAAGUCCUUUAUGAUCUCUGUUUUACCUGGAAAGAAAGUGAGAUGCAAAGAAGUUUAGUAACUUGCUGAGACCACAGAACCAGACAGAGGUUGUGCUGAGACCCACCCAGAGCACCAGGCUCUUCAUCACAACCUCUUUUUGUAAUUUCCCACACAGUCUUCUUAAUGGCAUCAGGGGUGCACAUGUGUGUUCUCCCUGACCAUUAAACCCUCACUGGCAUUAACUGGACAAAUAGGAAGUUUAAAGAGGGUAUUUAACACCCCAUUCAUCUAGUCUCCCUGCCUGAGCUGCUCCCCCAUCCUAGAAUGUGCUUUUAUCUCCUGUGAUAACCAAAGACCCACUGGAUCCUCCCUGCCCCCUCUCUCACCAUAAGGGCCUCAAUGCAAGUUAAUGUCUCCAUUUUCCACAUUCCUAUUAUGUUUAUAGAUGGUUCUGUACAAUUUCAUGUUUUACAGACUUGUUCAACCAUUGAUAUAAUAACAACCAUGAAAACAAA